UAGGUCGCCAAGCUUAAACUGUAAAGAACACACUUUUGAUGCCUCGGAGAUGCGAAAAAAUCUACCAACAUCUAUACGUAUAGCAUGUAUCCAUCUUCAUUUUCUCUUCGUCUGGAAUUUUAAAGAAUCCAAUUCGUUCUCCUUUGGUCCAACACGCCCUCUUUGCCUAUAUAAUGGUGCACAACAGUGAACAUUUGACUUCGGCGCCAUUUUUCUUACAAUGCCUCCUGAGCCUCGUUUUAGUAAACUCGGUUCAGGUCUCAACCUUGCGUCCGCCAUUUAUGAAUAGGGCGUAUAUUCAUGUAACUUUGCUGGUAUUGUGUUAGGAUAUUGUGUAAAUACUAAUGUGUUGAAAAUCUCCGAGGCAGUUGUCAAUCAUUUACGAAGACCCUAUGCAGUAAAUACAGUUAUUUGAAUUAUCAUUGAUUGACGACUGAUCUUUUCCUUUAGUUUUUUCUAAGCAAUCACCGAAAUUUGCCUACCUGGUAAUGUGGAACAAUCCCUCCUGUCAGCGUCGUGCGAUGCCAAAGAGAUUGUUCAUCAACUGAAGGAGAACCUGCAACUAAACAAAGACAUUUUUGAAAGGCCAGACUAUAACACCAAGAAAAUAGUCCGUAGUCUGGCACACAGAGCAAAAGAUUUAAAAAGGCUUGAUGUCUUCGAACAUUUAAGAGAGAUUGCACCGGCUGGAACUACUGGUCCUUUUUUGGCGGAAAACCUGCCUGUUCAAGAAAUGCCAACCACU